UGACAUUUUCGGUCACUGACCAAUGGGCUCACUUGUACAAACUAAAAAUUGAAAUAGUACUCUAUAAUCCUUCAGACAAAACAAUGUAUAAUACAUGUUGUACAUCAUGCAUACCAACUGUUGGAUGAAUUACCUCAAUAAAGAACGUUUUGUGUGGAUCUCACUUGUGGGACCAUCUUUAUCUAUCGAUGAAUGGGCACACAUGGAUGUAUGGUUGAAGACUAUACCAUUGAUGCCCCUUUGGAUAAAAGUAGAGCUGGUCUGACCAUUUAAACUUUUCUUUCAUCAUUAUGUGUUUUUACACCUUUUAGAUUUGAUGAACUUUAACCAUUUUUGCUUUUUGCCCUAUUUGAGGGAUACCAUUCCGAUGAUAAAAAUGCAAUUGCCAAUGUAACUUUCAGUCUGUCCAGAUACAUAAGGAUCCAUUAGAGGGAUGUUUUAGAUCAUCAAAAUAUACAAUCAUGUGUGCUUGGCUUGUCCAUAAUUGCUUGAGCCAAGAAAUGGACCUCAACCACUAAUUAUCCUUAUAUCGAAUGCUUACACAGAUGCAUUGAGGUUGGAAAGCCUCGAGCUUGUGCAACCCAACUCUCUUACAAUCCAACACAGGCCUGGAUAGAAGGUGUGCAAUAUCCAAGCUUUCCAUCAAGUGGUUCCCCACUUCUUGAUGCCACGGUCCAAAAAUCAGGCAAGUCCACUCCAUGUAAGGAUCACCAAAAGCAAGGGCCCCAUACCCUUGGCUUAUUAUUAUUAUUAUUAUUAUUAUUAUUAUUUUUCUUACCAAUCUUCAUUGCUUCAAUAUAACGAAGGGUUUCCAUAAUGUUUGACUUGUAUUAUGUAUUUAUCUUUGGUUGUAAGAUGCUUAUUCAAAGUGGAAGUAACUAUAUAGAGUGUAGGCUCAGGGGUCCUCAAUGCUUACGUGGAUGCAUGAUCAAAGCUGCUCAUCAAGUGGAGCAUUGGUAACAGAGGGGGGCUUUGCUGCUUCAUAUGGGGAUGGAUAUGGACUUCAUUCGGUAUGGUUGUUUUUACAGAAAAUAUUUAUGACUGAAAAUUUAAUUUUAGAUAGUGUAACUCAGAUUAUGAGUGUAUAUAUUGUUUUAUUACUUGACCUCUAUACAUGGCAAGGUGGUGCUGAUUAAGGUUCUAUAUAUGGCAUGAGUUCUGGUUAUUGGGGUGCAUUUGAGAAGUCUUGCCUCGGGCGUCACUGAAGUCCGUUGAUUUUUUUUUUCCUUCUGCUUUUCCUUGUGUCUCAAUCUAUAAAUUUUCUGUCCAUUAUGUAACCUUUCAUUCUCAGGCCCCUUGUAAAUGAGGCUGGUUGUAAAUGAUUUACAGGUUGUGUUUGAAUGCUAAUUUAAUCUUGUAAAGGUUUUUUGAUUUAGAA